rnacentral:rRNA from 1 species
AGGAAGAAUAUUGGUCAAUGGGGGAAACCCUGAACCAGCAAUGCCGCGUGAAGGAAGAAGGCCUUCGGGUUGUAAACUUCUGUGACGGGGGACGAAGCAAGUGACGGUACCCCGAGAGGAAGCCCCGGCAAACUACGUGCCAGCAGCCGCGGUAAUACGUAGGGGGCGAGCGUUGUCCGGAAUUACUGGGCGUAAAGCGCGCGUAGGCGGCUUUACAAGUCGCUUGUGAAAGCCCCGGGCUCAACCUGGGGAUUGCAGGCGAAACUGUAGGGCUUGAGUGCGGUAGAGGAAAGUGGAAUUCCUAGUGUAGCGGUGAAAUGCGCAGAUAUUAGGAGGAACACCAGUGGCGAAGGCGACUUUCUGGGCCGUAACUGACGCUGAGGCGCGAAAGCGUGGGGAGCAAACAGGAUUAGAAACCCUAGUAGUCC